rnacentral:rRNA from 1 species
AACGAACGCUGGCGGCAUGCCUAACACAUGCAAGUCGAACGAGACCUUCGGGUCUAGUGGCGCACGGGUGCGUCACGCGUGGGAACCUGCCCUUAGGUUCGGAAUAACUCCCUGAAAGGGGUGCUAAUACCGGAUAAUGUCUUCGGACCAAAGAUUUAUCGCCUUUGGAUGGGCCCGCGUUGGAUUAGCUAGUUGGUAGGGUAAAAGCCUACCAAGGCGACGAUCCAUAGCUGGUCUGAGAGGAUGAUCAGCCACACUGGGACUGAGACACGGCCCAGACUCCUACGGGAGGCAGCAGUGGGGAAUAUUGGACAAUGGGCGAAAGCCUGAUCCAGCAAUGCCGCGUGAGUGAUGAAGGCCUGAGGGUUGUAAAGCUCUUUUACCCGGGAUGAUAAUGACAGUACCGGGAGAAUAAGCUCCGGCUAACUCCGUG